GGCGCGGUAGCCAAGUGGUAAGGCGGCGGUCUGCAAAACCGCUAUUCGCGGGUUCGAUUCCCGCCCGCGCCU
rnacentral:tRNA from 1 species